rnacentral:rRNA from 1 species
AUUGAACGCUGGCGGCAGGCCUAACACAUGCAAGUCGAACGAGUGGCGGACGGGUGAGUAAUGUCUGGGAAACUGCCUGAUGGAGGGGGAUAACUACUGGAAACGGUAGCUAAUACCGCAUACCAUCGGAUGUGCCCAGAUGGGAUUAGCGAGUAGGUGGGGUAACGGCUCACCUAGGCGACGCUCCCUAGCUGGUCUGAGAGGAGGACCAGCCACACGGGAACGGGGACACGGCCCAGACUCCUACGGGAGGCAGCAGUGGGGAAUAUGGCACAAUGGGCGCAAGCCUGAUGCAGCCAUGCCGCGUGUAUGAAGAAGGCCGUCGGGUUGUAAAGUACUUUCAGCGGGGAGGCGUUACCCGCAGAAGAAGCACCGGGUAACUCCGUGCCAGGAGGCGCGGUAAUUC